rnacentral:tRNA from 1 species
GGGGAUGUAGCUUAGUGGUAGAGCACUUGCCUAGCACCGCAGCACAUGCAAGGCCCUGCGCUCCAUCCCCA